CGGGACGGUGAGUAACGCGUGGUAACCUGCCUCAUACAGGGGGAUAACAGUUAGAAAUGACUGCUAAUACCGCAUAAGCGCACAAAACCGCAUGGUUUGGUGUGAAAAACUGAGGUGGUAUGAGAUGGACCCGCGUCUGAUUAGCUAGUUGGAGAGGUAACGGCUCACCAAGGCAACGAUCAGUAGCCGACCUGAGAGGGUGACCGGCCACAUUGGGACUGAGACACGGCCCAAACUCCUACGGGAGGCAGCAG
rnacentral:rRNA from 1 species